ACUCUCUGAUUUCCUUUUACAUUAGAUCUGGAUACUAGUCUUGGUGGUGUAAAGGAAGGAAUAGUAAUACUGACUUUGGCCUUACAGUUCUCAUAGUCUGCUAUAUAACACAUGGGACAGUUUCUAACAAGG